GUCCACGCCCUAAACUAUGUCAACUGGUUGUCGGGGAAGCAAUUCCUUGGUAACGAAGCUAACGCGUGAAGUUGACCGCCUGGGGAGUACGGCCGCAAGGUUAAAACUCAAAGGAAUUGACGGGGACCCGCACAAGCGGUGGAUUAUGUGGAUUAAUCGAUGCAACGCGAAAAACCUUACCUACCCUUGACAUGUACGGAACCUCGCAGAGAUGUGAGGGUGCCCGAAAGGUAACCGUAACACAGGUGCUGCAUGGCUGUCGU
rnacentral:rRNA from 1 species